AGGAUGAACAUGCAAGUCGAGCGAACGGACGAGAAGCUUGCUUCUCUGAUGUUAGCGGCGGACGGGUGAGUAACACGUGGAUAACCUACCUAUAAGACUGGGAUAACUUCGGGAAACCGGAGCUAAUACCGGAUAAUAUUUUGAACCGCAUGGUUCAAAAGUGAAAGACGGUCUUGCUGUUGGAUCCGCGCUGCAUUAGCUAGUUGGUAAGGUAACGGCUUACCAAGGCAACGAUGCAUAGCCGACCUGAGAGGGUGAUCGGCCACACUGGAACUGAGACACGGUCCAGACUCCUACGGGAGGCAGCAGUAGGGAAUCUUCCGCAAUGGGCGAAAGCCUGACGGAUGAAGGUCUUCGGAUCGUAAAACUCUGUUAUUAGGGAAGAACAUAUGUGUAAGUAACUGUGCACAUCUUGACGGUACCUAAUCAGAAAGCCACGGCUAACUACGUGCCAGCAGCCGCGGUAAUACGUAGGUGGCAAGCGUUAUCCGGAAUUAUUGGGCGGUAGGCGGUUUUUUAAGUCUGAUGUGAAAGCCCACGGCUCAACCGUGGAGGGUCAUGUGCAGAAGAGGAAAGUGGAAUUCCAUGUGUAGCGGUGAAAUGCGCAGAGAGCGAAGGCGACUUUCUGGUCUGUAACUGACGCUGAUGUGCGAAAGCGUGGGGAUCAAACAGGAUUAGAUACCCUGGUAGUCCACGCCGUAAACGAUGAGUGCUAAGUGUUAGGGGGUUUCCGCCCCUUAGUGCUGCAGCUAACGCAUUAAGCACUCCGCCUGGGGAAAGGAAUUGACGGGGACCCGCACAAGCGGUGGAGCAUGUGGUUUAAUUCGAAGCAACGCGAAGAACCUUACCAAAUCUUGACAUCCUUUGACAACUCUAGAGAUAGAGCCUUCCCCUUCGGGGGACAAAGUGACAGGUGGUGAUGUUGGGUUAAGUCCCGCAACGAGCGCAACCCUUAAGCUUAGUUGCCAUCAUUAAGUUGGGCACUCUAAGUUGACUGCCGGUGACAAACCGGAGAAAUCAUCAUGCCCCUUAUGAUUUGGGCUACACACGUGCUACAAUGGACAAUACAAAGGGCAGCGAAACCGCGAGGUCAAGCAAAUCCCAUAAAGUUGUUCUCAGUUCGGAUUGUAGUCUGCAACUCGACUACAUGAAGGAUCAGCAUGCUACGGUGAAUACGUUCCCGGGUCUUGUACACACCGCCCGUCACACCACGAGAGUUUGUAACACCCGAAGCCGGUGGAGUAACCUUUUAGGAGCUAGCCGUCGAAGGUGGG
rnacentral:rRNA from 1 species